rnacentral:rRNA from 1 species
UACGUAGGGGACGAGCGUUAUCCGGAUUUACUGGGCGUAAAGCGCAUGUAGGUGGCGCGGAAAGUUGGACGUGAAAGCUCCCGGCUUAACUGGGAGGGGCCGUGCGAAACUGCCUGGCUUGAGGUCGGAAGGGGAAAGUGGAAUUCCGGGUGUAGUGGUGGAAUACGUAGAUAUCCGGAGGAACACCAGCGGCGAAGGCGGCUUUCUGGUCCGAUUCUGACGCUGAGGCGCGAAAGCGUGGGGAGCGAUCCGG